GACGAACGCUGGCGGCGUGCUUAACACAUGCAAGUCGAACGGAGCACCUUUGAAAGAGACUUCGGUCAAUGGAUGAGACUGCUUAGUGGCGGACGGGUGAGUAACGCGUGAGGAACCUGCCUUUCAGAGGGGGACAACAGUUGGAAACGACUGCUAAUACCGCAUGAUGCAUGAUCAGGGCAUCCUGGACAUGCCAAAGAUUUAUCGCUGAAAGAUGGCCUCGCGUCUGAUUAGCUAGUUGGUGAGGUAACGGCCCACCAAGGCGACGAUCAGUAGCCGGACUGAGAGGUUGACCGGCCACAUUGGGACUGAGAUACGGCCCAG
rnacentral:rRNA from 1 species